GUUAUAUCUAGGAAAACUUUUUAAAAUAAGUCAUGGCCUUAUCUAAAAAAGAAAAAAAAAAAAAAUACCCAACGUAACUAAGAUCGUGCUUAAAAAUAGAUUUUAUUUAAAUACAUGGCCCUAAAGACAAUAUCAUUAGUAGUUAAUGCUAUAUGUAGCAAGGUUUAAGAUUUAGACCAUUUAGAAGGUUUGUGACACCUCCCAUUUGUUUUAUAUUGCUACAGGGAUUUCGCUUAAUUGUUUUUUCUCUCUAAAAGUUAACUUGUCUACAUACAUUCAAAAUAAAAAGGUCGUAAGUGAAAGUCGCGUGGUAAUUUUAUUGCAAUGUUUUAAUAAAUUUUACACGACACAAACACAACCCCAACGUAAGAAAAUAUCACUGUACAUACCCGAAAAUAAAUUCUAAAUGAAAUAAACAGC
rnacentral:lncRNA from 1 species